GGGUGAGUAACGCGUGGGCAAUCUGCCCUUCAGAUGGGGACAACAUCCCGAAAGGGGUGCUAAUACCGAAUACGAUCCUUCCACCGCAUGGAGGAAGGAUGAAAGAUGGCCUCUAUUUAUAAGCUAUCGCUGAAGGAUGAGCCUGCGUCUGAUUAGCUAGUUGGUGGGGUAACGGCCUACCAAGGCGAUGAUCAGUAGCCGGUCUGAGAGGAUGAACGGCCACAUUGGGACUGAGACACGGCCCAAACUCCUACGGGAGGCAGCAGUGGGGAAUAUUCCGCAAUGGACGAAAGUCUGACGGAGCAACGCCGCGUGAGUGAUGAAGGUUUUCGGACUGUAAAGCUCUGUUGUUUAGGACGAAAGUGCCUGUUGCGAACAGUUACAGGUAUUGACGGUACUGAACGAGGAAGCCACGGCUAACUACGUGCCAGCAGCCGCGGUAAUACGUAGGUGGCAAGCGUUGUCCGGAAUUAUUGGGCGUAAAGAGCAUGUAGGCGGGAAUCUAAGUCUGUUGUGAAAAUGCGGGGCUCAACCCCGUAUGGCGAUGGAAACUGGAUUUCUUGAGUGCAGGAGAGGAAAGGGGAAUUCCCAGUGUAGCGGUGAAAUGCGUAGAUAUUGGGAGGAACACCAGUGGCGAAGGCGCCUUUCUGGACUGCGUCUGACGCUGAGAUGCGAAAGCCAGGGUAGCGAACGGGAUUAGAUACCCCGGUAGUCCUGGCCGUAAACGAUGGGUACUAGGUGUAGGGGGUAUCGACCCCCCCUGUGCCGGA
rnacentral:rRNA from 1 species